rfam:Glycine soja cultivar W05 scaffold365_4, whole genome shotgun sequence.
GACUCAUUAGCUCAGUUGGUUAGAGCGUUGUGAUAAUAACCCAAAAGUCAUAGGUUUGAGUCUUGCAUGGGCCA